rnacentral:rRNA from 1 species
UAGGGAAUCUUCGGCAAUGGACGAAAGUCUGACCGAGCAACGCCGCGUGAGUGAAGAAGGUUUUCGGAUCGUAAAACUCUGUUGUUAGAGAAGAACAAGGACGUUAGUAACUGAACGUCCCCUGACGGUAUCUAACCAGAAAGCCACGGCUAACUACGUGCCAGCAGCCGCGGUAAUACGUAGGUGGCAAGCGUUGUCCGGAUUUAUUGGGCGUAAAGCGAGCGCAGGCGGUUUCUUAAGUCUGAUGUGAAAGCCCCCGGCUCAACCGGGGAGGGUCAUUGGAAACUGGGAGACUGGAGUGCAGAAGAGGAGAGUGUAAGUCUAUGUGUAGCGGUGAAGUGCGUGGAGAUAUAGAGGAACACCAGUGGCGAAGGCGGCUCUCUGGUCUGUAACUGACGCUGAGGCUCGAAAGCGUGGGGAGCAAACAGG